AACGUAGGACGCGAGCGUUAUCCGGAGUUACUGGGCGUAAAGCGCGGGCAGGCGGUCUGACAAGUCUGAUGUGAAAUCUCCGGGCUCAACCUCGGAACUGCCCUUGAAACUGCAGUGCUAGAAUCUUGGAGAGGCGAGUGGAAUUCCGAGUGUAGAGGUGAAAUUCGUAGAUAUUCGGAAGAACACCAGUGGCGAAGGCGACUCGCUGGACAAGUAUUGACGCUGAGGUGCGAAAGCGUGGGGAGCAAACAGG
rnacentral:rRNA from 1 species